rnacentral:rRNA from 1 species
GACGAACGCUGGCGGCGUGCUUAACACAUGCAAGUCGAACGGAAAGGCCCUGCUUUUGUGGGGUGCUCGAGUGGCGAACGGGUGAGUAACACGUGAGUAACCUGCCCUUGACUUUGGGAUAACUUCAGGAAACUGGGGCUAAUACCGGAUAGGAGCUCCUGCUGCAUGGUGGGGGUUGGAAAGUUUCGGCGGUAGGGGAUGGACUCGCGGCUUAUCAGCUUGUUGGUGGGGGAGUGGCUUACCAAGGCUUGGACGGGUAGCCGGCCUGAGAGGGUGACCGGCCACAUGGGGACUGCGAUACGGCCCAGACUCCUACGGGAGGCAGCAGUGGGGAAUAUUGCACAAUGGGCGGAAGCCUGAUGCAGCGACGCCGCGGUCGGGAUGACGGCCUGCGGGUUGUAAACCGCUUUCGCCUGUGACGAAGCGUGAGUGACGGUAAUGGGUAAAGAAGCACCGGCUAACUACGUG